rnacentral:misc_RNA from 1 species
GAACGCACCUUGCGCUCCUUGGUAUUCCGAGGAGCAUGCCUGUUUGAGUGUCAUUUAACUUCUCAACCACACUUGAUUUGUGUGGCUUUGGAUAUGGGGGUUUCUGCGGGCUUUCUUGUGUGAAAGAAGGUCGGCUCCCCUGAAAUGCAUUAGUGGUAUCUGAGCUACUACUAUAGGUGUGAUAAUUAUCUAUGCCUCUUGGUAUACUGCAUGAACAGAUUGCGCUGCUUCCAACUUGUACACCCUUUGGUGUUUGACAAAUUUGACCUCAAAUCAGGUAGGACUACCCGCUGAACUUA